rnacentral:rRNA from 1 species
AUAGCGUAUACUAAAGUUGUUGCAGUUAAAAAGCUCGUAGUUGAAUUUCUGGUCUUGGAUUUCGGUCUGCCUCAAACGAGGUAUGUACCAGGGAUCUGAGACCAUCCUCGAGAAAAACAUGCCUGUCAUUUAGUUAAUGGGUAUGGGAUUCUCGUCAUUUACUGUGAGCAAAAUAGGGUGUUCAAAGCAGGCUUAUGCCGUUGAAUACAUUAGCAUGGAAUAAUAAGAUAAGACCUUGGUCUAUUUUGUUGGUUUGUACUCCAAGGUAAUGAUUAAUAGGGAUAGUUGGGGGUAUUCGUAUUCAAUUGUCAGAGGUGAAAUUCUUGGAUUUAUGGAAGACGAACUACUG